rnacentral:rRNA from 1 species
UACGGAGGGGGCUAGCGUUGUUCGGAAUCACUGGGCGUAAAGCGCACGUAGGCGGACUCGCAGGUCAAUUGUGAAAUACCUGGGCUCAACCCGGGAACUGCAGUUGAAACCGCUUGUCUUGAAUACCUGAGAGGGUGGGGGAAUACCUGGUGGAGAAGUGAAAUUCGUAGAGAUCAGGUGGAACACCGGAGGCGAAGGCGCCUGCCUGGCAGUGUAUUGACGCUGAGGUGCGAAAGUGCGGGGAGCAAACAGG